UUUGCGACCACAUCACGUUGAAGCAUCGGUUCGCGUACGAUCACCGAAGUUAAGCAAAGAUCGAGCCUGGCCAGUACCUAGAUGAGUGACCGCUUGAGAAUACCAGGUGCAGUAAG